UUGAACAUGAUUGCGGAUGGGACAACGCAUGCAGAGGCCUAUUCACUCCUUACUCACACAGGGAGGGUGCACCAAGUGGACUCAAGGGUGCUACUAGCAAGUCCAUGGGCAUGAGUCCCAACCGAAUUUAAACCAAAGCAAAAUGAGGGAGGGGUCAGCUUGCUUGGAUUCAACUCACAUGCAUUCAUACAUCACUUCAAUGCUCUCUCCUCUAACAUAUUUCAUCGUCGGAGCCUCUAAUCAACUCCGUCGCGCCGGAAUCGCCUCUGGCGAUGACGAAGGGCCAAACAUGAAAUUGAUUGCAUCAUUCUAUUCGAUUUCACCCCCUCCAUUCAAAUCUUAUAGUCACUGAACCUAAUACCAAAUAUAAAGGCCAAAUCGAAACAAAAAGUGUAUGAACCCUAAUCUACAAAACCAGAAAUUAAAUGAAGACCACGAUGGAUCAAAGCCUCUAAUGAGAGGGCUUUGAUUCCUGACACAAGGAGCUACAUCUUGGUAAGCAAAUUUAAGCAAAAUGGAGCAGAAUAAUUGGAGCCCUACUUGCCGGAGACGAAGGUGAUGACGACGGAGAUGAAGGUUAAAUCAGGAAAAGGUGAGAUUAUGGUGGCAAGACAAGUCAUAGUAUUGUGGAGGCCUAUGGAAACAUCAUGGCAUGGUGGAUUGACGGGCUGUCAAGUUCAAAGCUUCUUCCUUUUUUUUACUUUUGAUUCAAGCUAUGUAACAUGCGAACAUGUAGCAUGCUAUGAUGACGUAGUAGUUAUUAGGAAAUGGAUUAGUUUAUGUAAAAUGAUUUUAUGCUUGUAAUGAAGAAUGUUUAUGGAUAAGCUCAUGUGAUCAUUCUUGUGUAAUGAAAAAGCUUAAUUGUGAUUCAAACUCAAAUU